GGUUUUAAACCUCUGCUUUGUUCUUGGAGUGAUCUGCAUGAGCCAGACUCUCCUCGUUGUCCUCUUCCUCUGCAGGGACCUGGGACAACAUCAAAAGCAACAGCAAAAUCCGGUGGUAUCACCAACAAAUUAACAGAUAAGUGCACAACGUGCCAUCUGUCAUCUCCACCUACCUGUAAUAGCCCCUCCAACCAGAGCAAACCCAAGGGAUGAAGCCAAGGCGGCGGCUUGCAUGGCGGCGUUCCCGCUAAAAGCCACAGCGACUAUACCAGCCAAGCCUCCCAGGAUGCCCGGCAUGCCGUGCAGAUUGUGGACACCACAGGUAUCCUGGAUGCCCAGAUGCGAUGCCAGAAUAGGCUGCAGAGAAAAGCCACUUCAAUAUGAGUAUGCUGGAGACGGCGUAAGCAGAAAGCACGCAGGUGGCCAGGGAGAGGUAGGUGUUGAUGACCGCUGUGAGCUGGGUGAAGCCUGGUUCGGCAAUGGCUGAGUUAAAACUGGGCCAGAACAUCCAGAGGAACACGGUCCCUGUGAAGAAGAUGACUCAGUAAAUUCACAGCAAGUAGCAGAAUUUAUUAUUCGGAGGUCUGUUGGUUUUACAAACACUGGCAUCCUUGUUGAGUGUUGAAGCUGCCUAGACAAUUUGUGUCCACUAGAUGGCAUUGGAAAGUUGGAUUCAAUUGCAUACUCUCUUACCAAUCAUAGCAAACAUAUCAGAGUGGUAGACAGAUCCGUCAUUGUCGUGGCCGUUUCUCAGACCCGGCCUGUAAAGCAUCCGAGCCACGGCCAAACCAAAAUAGGCCCCGUAGGCGUGGAUGAUCAUGGAGGCCCCAACGUCGUUGGCCUGUAAAAAGAACAGACAAUUGUGUUCUAAACGUUAUUGUCAUUUUUUUCCCUUAACUAGUUGUUUGUAAUUCACAUCAGAAAUGACUUGUAAAAAGUGUUCUUUUAUCUCUAUCAAGCACUAGAACAGAUGAUAGGAUGGGUUGUGUUGUUUUGUUUUUUGCCAGAUUAUGCAAAAGUUACACAACUGAUUGGUUAAACUGAAGAUCCAGAUGCAAUUAGAAUUAAAAGCCAUUCACUUCCAUUGACUGCCUUGUUCUUGUCAGAGUGCUGCGUGCUGAUUGCAGGAAACAAAAACAAAAACUUGGUCUAUAUUUGCAAUGGUGUGGAUGUACCUUUUCUAAGUUGAAGGUAUACAAUAAAUGUUUUUCUUGGUGGUUGUGCGCAGAAUAAGUCGAGGUUGACUCACCCCCAUGAUUUCGGCCACCAGGUGCUCGUUUAUGGAGAAUAUGCUAAUCUCCAGGAUGGUCAUGAUGAGCAGCUGAACGGGGCUGGUUUUACCCAGUACUGCUCCAAAGGAGAUUAAGACGGUGGCUGUGCUGAAGUCUGCAUUGAUGAUUCUUCAAGGAGAGAUGCCAGAUACCCUGCAUGAGGAGACCCCACUGCAGGCCGAAGGCGGCCAGUAGCAAGUUGAUGCCCACGCUGCUGAAGCCGUAUCUUUUCAGGAAAGUCAUCAAGAAGCCGAAGCCGAUGAAGAUCAUGACGUGGACAUCCUGGAACACUGGGGACAUGACAGAGG